rnacentral:tRNA from 1 species
UUUGAUAACUCUUUAAUGAGCCCUGCGUUUCGGCCGCGGGAGGGAAAUGUUUGUUUCUAUCAAAU